CCUACGGGUGGCUGCAGUGGGGAAUCUUGCGCAAUGGGCGAAAGCCUGACGCAGCGACGCCGCGUGGGUGACGAAGGCCUUCGGGUUGUAAAGCCCUGUGGGGAGGAACGAACCGUCCGGGGGCUAAUACCCUCCGGGCCUGACGGUACCUCUUUAGCAAGCAUCGGCUAACUCUGUGCCAGCAGCCGCGGUAAGACAGAGGAUGCGAUCGUUGCUCGGCGUUACUGGGCGUAAAGGGAAGUUAGGUGGGAAAGCCCUCUGCUCAACGGAGGAAGUGCACGGGAUACUGCGAGGCUGGAGUACAGAAGAGGACAGCGGAAUUCCCGGUGUAGAGGUGAAAUUCGUAGAUAUCGGGAGGAACACCAGUGGCGAAGGCGGCUGUCUGGGCUGAUACUGACACUGAGGCGCGAAAGCGUGGGAAGCAAACAGGAUUAGAUACCCCUGUAGUC
rnacentral:rRNA from 1 species